rnacentral:lncRNA from 1 species
ACCUAACCAUAGAAAGAUUCUAUACCAAGUUGAUAAAGCUAACUCACAUGUGACAAGGAGAUGGGAAACCGACUCAACAUAAACCUUACACAAAGGACAAAAGAUCUCAUUAGAAUCAACAAUCACCCCAUUUAAAUAAGUUCUCCAUUGAAAAAAGUAUAUCUUGCAUAAUUUUCCAAUAAAAAACCAACCUUAGAAGG